GCGGCAGCCAGAGGGUGUUGGUCUGGCCAUCUGGUGCAGGAACAGUCGAGCCGUGUGGGAGCCCAGCUGGCACGGGAAUCCUUGGCUGUCCCCGGCAAACAGCAUGGGGAGGAGAGCUGUGGGAUCAAUAGUAAUUUCCUUCAGAGGAACGGUGAUGUAGCGCGGUUGGCAGUGGCAUUGGGCUUUCCCUGGCACGGAGGUCUCUAAAUGCACUUGGCCCUCUUAGCUAGGAAAUGGACUUGCAGCAGAACGCUGGACAGGGAACGGAACAAGGACAGUACUUUCUUGGCCUGAGCCCAAGAGAGGUUGCCAGGUUGGCUGUGGAAGCAAGCUUUCUCUGUGCCUGCCUGUCAUCGGCAUAAGCCACGUAGACACUUUGAGGCACUGACAGAGUGGAAAUUGUGGAAGCUGGAACAGUCCCAUGGGCCUGCCGGCACCUCCCAUGCAACAUUUAUCUACUCAGCACUAAGGGAGAGACUUCUGUGUGCCAGGAACAGUGCUCAGGUUGCUGCUGUGCCCGGUUUGAGCUGGAACAGUGAGGAGGAGCAGGCCUUAAAACCAGACAUCUCUCCCUGCUUGUUGGCUGCGUCCCUCCUGCCCUGGAAUCUUCAGGAUGCAGAGCGCAGCCCAGUGUAGUGUAGUGCAAUGGCAAAGUGAAGUCAAGAGCUGCUGGAUUUCCUGAAGUCAACGAAAAUAAUGCUGGGGAAUUGCUCCAACCACACAAGGAGCUGCUAAUUGGGGUCUGGCCGAAUUAGCCAGUUCUGAACCAGAGAGACAUUCACAAGCAGGAGGCAUGAUGGAGUUUCCAAAAGAGGACCCUUUGAAGAACGAAAUAUUAAGAGAGACCGCUGGUAUAACUGAUGAAGACCUUGAAACUUUUUUUUUGCCAAAAUGAUCCUCUUUAUGCUGGCGUA